rnacentral:rRNA from 1 species
GAAACUCAAAGGAAUUGACGGGACCCCGCACAAGCGGUGGAUCAUGUUGUUUAAUUCGAUGAUACGCGAAGAACCUUACCAGGUCUUGACAUCCCCGCAAUGCUCUGGAGACAGAGCGGAGGUAGUCCGGGGAGACAGGUGGUGCAUGGUUGUCGUCAGCUCGUGUCGUGAGUUGUUGGGUUAAGUCCCGCAACGAGCGCAACCCUUAUUGCUAGUUACCAUCAUUGAGUUGGGCACUCUAAUGAGACUGCCGGUGAUAAACCGGAGGAAGGUGGGGAUGACGUCAAGUCCUCAUGGCCCUUAUGGGUAGGGCUUCACACGUCAUACAAUGGUCGGUACAGAGGGUUGCCAAGCCGCGAGGUGGAGCCAAUCCCUUAAAGCCGAUCGUAGUCCGGAUCGUAGUCUGCAACUCGACUACGUGAAGUCGGAAUCGCUAGUAAUCGCAGAUCAGCAUGCUGCGGUGAAUACGUUCCCGGGCCUU